GAUGAACGCUGGCGGCGUGCUUAACACAUGCAAGUCGAACGAACAGGCCCUGCUUUUGUGGGUUGCACGAGUGGCGAACGGGUGUGUAAAACGUGAGUAACCUGCCCUUGACUUUGGGAUAACUUCAGGAAACUGGGGCGCAUACCGGAUAGGAGCUCUUGAUCCAUGGUGUGGGUUGGAAAGUGUCGGCCGUUGGGGAUGUACUCGCGGCUUAUCAGCUUGUUGGUGGGGUAGGGGCUGACAAGGGCUUCGACGGGUAGCCUGCGUUGGAGGUUGACCGGGCACAUUGGUCCUGCGAUACGGCGCAGUCGCCUACGGGAGGCAGCAGGGGAGAAUAUGACACAGUGGGCGGAAGCCUGAGAUGACAACGCCGCGUGCGGGAUACCGGCUUUCGGGGGGAAAACAGCUGUCGCCUGUAACGUAGCGUGAGUGACGGUAAUUGGUAAGAAAGCACCGGCUAACUACGUG
rnacentral:rRNA from 1 species